rnacentral:rRNA from 1 species
AACGAACGCUGGCGGCAUGCCUAACACAUGCAAGUCGAACGAGACCUUCGGGUCUAGUGGCGCACGGGUGCGUAACGCGUGGGAACCUGCCCUUAGGUUCGGAAUAACUCCCCGAAAGGGGUGCUAAUACCGGAUAAUGUCUUCGGACCAAAGAUUUAUCGCCUUUGGAGGGGCCGGCGUUGGAUUAGCUAGUUGGUAGGGUAAACGCCUACCAAGGCGACGAUCCAUAGCUGGUCUGAGAGGAUGAUCAGCCACACUGGUACUGAGACACGGCCCAGACUCCUACGGGAGGCAGCAGUGGGGAAUAUUGGAAAGUGGGCGAAAGCCUGAUCCAGCAAUGACGCGUGAGUGAUGAAGGCCUUAGGGUUGUAAAGCUCUUUUACCCGGGAUGAUAAUGACAGUACCGGGAGAAUAAGCUCCGGCUAACUCCGUG